rnacentral:rRNA from 1 species
GUGUCAGCAGCCGCGGUAAUACGUAGGGGGCAAGCGUUGUCCGGAAUCAUUGGGCGUAAAGCGCGUGUAGGCGGCUCGGAAAGUCUGGUGUGAAAUCUCGGGGCUCAACCCUGAGCGGUCACUGGAUACUGUCGAGCUUGAGUCCGGAAGAGGAGAGUGGAAUUCCUGGUGUAGCGGUGGAAUGCGCAGAUAUCAGGAGGAACACCUAUGGCGAAGGCAGCUCUCUGGUACGUGACUGACGCUGAGACGCGAAAGCGUGGGGAGCGAACAGGAUUAGAUACCCUGGUAGUCCACGCCGUAAACGAUGGAUGCUAGGUGUGGGUGGUGUCGACUCCAUCCGUGCCGAAGCUAACGCAUUAAGCAUCCCGCCUGGGGAGUACGGCCGCAAGGCUAAA